GGACAUGAGGGCAAUCUGGCUGCAACACGUACCACCCAUUGGUCAUCAGAUUGACUCAGGAUCUGUCUGGCUAGGCAAGGGUCCCCUUCCCCUCACCGCUCCAUGUGCAACCCUCCCCAGAAGCUGUGUACUUGGAAGAGGUCACCCUUCCCAAGGAGAGGAGGGCAUUUUGCCAGUCAAGCGUAUACAAGUACCUGCACUUCCGUGCUAGAACUUCCAAACAAGCCCUCAAAUAAUAGACUAUCAUUUUACCAUAUGGUUUAAAGUUUUCUCCAAUGAACUCUUCACUAAAACUUUUAACACAAUGGAUUU
rnacentral:snRNA from 1 species